rnacentral:rRNA from 2 species
UGUGAACUCGAAGAGUAGGGCGGGACACGUGGUAUCCUGUCUGAAUAUGGGGGGACCAUCCUCCAAGGCUAAAUACUCCUGACUGACCGAUAGUGAACCAGUACCGUGAGGGAAAGGCGAAAAGAACCCCGGCGAGGGGAGUGAAAAAGAACCUGAAACCGUGUACGUACAAGCAGUGGGAGCACCUUCGGGUGUGACUGCGUACCUUUUGUAUAAUGGGUCAGCGACUUAUAUUCUGUAGCAAGGUUAACCGUAUAGGGGAGCCGCAGGGAAACCGAGUCUUAACUGGGCGUUAAGUUGCAGGGUAUAGACCCGAAACCCGGUGAUCUAGCCAUGGGCAGGUUGAAGGUUGGGUAACACUAACUGGAGGACCGAACCGACUAAUGUUGAAAAAUUAGCGGAUGACUUGUGGCUGGGGGUGAAAGGCCAAUCAAACCGGGAGAUAGCUGGUUCUCCCCGAAAGCUAUUUAGGUAGCGCCUCGUGAACUCAUCUUCGGGGGUAGAGCACUGUUUCGGCUAGGGGGUCAUCCCGACUUACCAACCCGAUGCAAACUACGAAUACCGAAGAAUGUUAUCACGGGAGACACACGGCGGGUGCUAACGUCCGUCGUGAAGAGGGAAACAACCCAGACCGCCAGCUAAGGUCCCAAAGUCAUGGUUAAGUGGGAAACGAUGUGGGAAGGCACAGACAGCCAGGAUGUUGGCUUAGAAGCAGCCAUCAUUUAAAGAAAGCGUAAUAGCUCACUGGUCGAGUCGGCCUGCGCGGAAGAUGUAACGGGGCUAAACCAUGCACCGAAGCUGCGGCAGCGACACUAUGUGUUGUUGGGUAGGGGAGCGUUCUGUAAGCCUGCGAAGGUGUGCUGUGAGGCAUGCUGGAGGUAUCAGAAGUGCGAAUGCUGACAUAAGUAACGAUAAAGCGGGUGAAAAGCCCGCUCGCCGGAAGACCAAGGGUUCCUGUCCAACGUUAAUCGGGGCAGGGUGAGUCGACCCCUAAGGCGAGGCCGAAAGGCGUAGUCGAUGGGAAACAGGUUAAUAUUCCUGUACUUGGUGUUACUGCGAAGGGGGGACGGAGAAGGCUAUGUUAGCCGGGCGACGGUUGUCCCGGUUUAAGCAUGUAGGCUGGUU